rnacentral:rRNA from 1 species
CCCUAUGGGGUGCAGCAGGCGAGAAAACUUUGCAAUGUGCGAAAGCACGACAAGGUUAAUCCGAGUGGUUUCUGCUAAAGGAACCUUUUGUCGGUCCUAGAAACACCGAUGAAUAAGGGGUGGGCAAGUUCUGGUGUCAGCCGCCGCGGUAAAACCAGCACCUCAAGUGGUCAGGAUGAUUAUUGGGCCUAAAGCAUCCGUAGCCGGCUCUGUUAGUUUUCGGUUAAAUCUGUACGCUCAACGUACAGGCUGCCGGGAAUACUGCAGAGCUAGGGAGUGGGAGAGGUAGACGGUACUCGGUAGGAAGGGGUAAAAUCCUUUGAUCUAUUGAUGACCACCUGUGGCGAAGGCGGUCUACCAGAACACGUCCGACGGUGAGGGAUGAAAGCUGGGGGAGCAAACCGGAUUAGAUACCCGGGUAGUCCCAGCUGUAAACUAUGCAAACUCAGUGAUGCAUUGGCUUGUGGCCAAUGCAGUGCUGCAGGGAAGCCGUUAAGUUUGCCGCCUGGGAAGUACGUACGCAAGUAUGAAACUUAAAGGAAUUGGCGGGGGAGCACCACAAGGGGUGAAGCCUGCGGUUCAAUUGGAGUCAACGCCAGAAAUCUUACCCGGAGAGACAGCAGAAUGAAGGUCAAGCUGAAGACUUUACCAGACAAGCUGAGAGGUGGUGCAUGGCC